rnacentral:rRNA from 1 species
UGCUCCCCGCUGACGAGCGGCGGACGGGUGAGUAAUGCAAAGGAAUCUCCCCAAUAGUGGGGGAUAACCGGGGGAAACCCAGGCUAAUACCCCAUACGUUCCUACGGGGAAAAAGGGGGCUUCGGCUCCCCCUAUCGGGAUGACCCUAUGUCGGAUUAGCUAGUUGGUGGGGUAAUGGCCCACCAAGGCAACGAUCCGUAGCUGGUCUGAGAGGAUGAUCAGCCACAUCGGGACUGAGACACGGCCCGAACUCCUACGGGAGGCAGCAGUGGGGAAUAUUGGACAAUGGGGGGAACCCUGAUCCAGCCAUGCCGCGUGUGUGAAGAAGGCCCUCGGGUUGUAAAGCACUUUCAGUGAGGAAGAACGCCUGGUGGUUAAUACCCAUCAGGAAAGACAUCACUCACAGAAGAAGCACCGGCUAACUCCGUGCCAGCAGCCGCGGUAAUACGGAGGGUGCGAGCGUUAAUCGGAAUUACUGGGCGUAAAGCGCGCGUAGGUGGCUUGAUAAGCCGGUUGUGAAAGCCCCGGGCUCAACCUGGGAACGGCAUCCGGAACUGUCAAGCUAGAGUGCAGGAGAGGAAGGUAGAAUUCCCGGUGUAGCGGUGAAAUGCGUAGAGAUCGGGAGGAAUACCAGUGGCGAAGGCGGCCUUCUGGACUGACACUGACACUGAGGUGCGAAAGCGUGGGUAGCAAACAGGAUUAGAUACCCUGGUAGUCCACGCCGUAAACGAUGUCGACCAGCCGUUGGGUGCCUAGCGCACUUUGUGGCGAAGUUAACGCGAUAAGUCGACCGCCUGGGGAGUACGGCCGCAAGGUUAAAACUCAAAUGAAUUGACGGGGGCCCGCACAAGCGGUGGAGCAUGUGGUUUAAUUCGAUGCAACGCGAAGAACCUUACCUACUCUUGACAUCCUGCGAAUUCGGUAGAGAUACCUUAGUGCCUUCGGGAACGCAGAGACAGGUGCUGCAUGGCUGUCGUCAGCUCGUGUUGUGAAAUGUUGGGUUAAGUCCCGUAACGAGCGCAACCCUUGUCCUUAUUUGCCAGCGCGUAAUGGCGGGAACUCUAAGGAGACUGCCGGUGACAAACCGGAGGAAGGUGGGGACAACGUCAAGUCAUCAUGGGCCCUUACAAAUAGGGCUACACACGUGCUACAAGGGCCGGUACAAAGGGUUGCCAACUCGCCGAAAGUGAGCCAAUCCCCAAAAGCCAAUCUCAGUCCGGAUCGGAAUCUGCAACCCCACUCCCGUGAAAUCGG